UACGAAGGGGGCUAGCGUUGCUCGGAAUCACUGGGCGUAAAGGGUGCGUAGGCGGGUCUUAAGUCAGGGGUGAAAUCCUGGAGCUCAACUCCAGAACUGCCUUUGAUACUGAAGAUCUUGAGUUCGGGAGAGGUGAGUGGAACUGCGAGUGUAGAGGUGAAAUUCGUAGAUAUUCGCAAGAACACCAGUGGCGAAGGCGGCUCACUGGCCCGAUACUACGCUGAUGCACGAAAGCGUGGGGAGCAAACAGG
rnacentral:rRNA from 1 species